rnacentral:rRNA from 1 species
UGGGGAAUUUUGGACAAUGGGGGAAACCCUGAUCCAGCCAUCCCGCGUGUGCGAUGAAGGCCUUCGGGUUGUAAAGCACUUUUGGCAGGAAAGAAACGUCAUGGGUUAAUACCCCGUGAAACUGACGGUACCUGCAGAAUAAGCACCGGCUAACUACGUGCCAGCAGCCGCGGUAAUACGUAGGGUGCAAGCGUUAAUCGGAAUUACUGGGCGUAAAGCGUGCGCAGGCGGUACGGAAAGAAAGAUGUGAAAUCCCAGAGCUCAACUUUGGAACUGCAUUUUUAACUACCGGGCUAGAGUGUGUCAGAGGGAGGUGGAAUUCCGCGUGUAGCAGUGAAAUGCGUAGAUAUGCGGAGGAACACCGAUGGCGAAGGCAGCCUCCUGAGAUAACACUGACGCUCAUGCACGAAAGCGUGGGGAGCAAACAGG